rnacentral:rRNA from 1 species
AUUGAACGCUGGCGGCAUGCUUUACACAUGCAAGUCGAACGGUAACAGGCCGCAAGGUGCUGACGAGUGGCGAACGGGUGAGUAAUGCAUCGGAACGUGCCCAGUCGUGGGGGAUAACGCAGCGAAAGCUGCGCUAAUACCGCAUACGAUCUAUGGAUGAAAGCGGGGGACCGUAAGGCCUCGCGCGAUUGGAGCGGCCGAUGUCAGAUUAGGUAGUUGGUGGGGUAAAGGCUCACCAAGCCAACGAUCUGUAGCUGGUCUGAGAGGACGACCAGCCACACUGGGACUGAGACAAGGCCCAGACUCCUACGGGAGGCAGCAGUGGGGAAUUUUGGACAAUGGGCGCAAGCCUGAUCCAGCAAUGCCGCGUGCAGGAAGAAGGCCUUCGGGUUGUAAACUGCUUUUGUACGGAACGAAACGGUCCUGGUUAAUACCCGGGGCUAAUGACGGUACCGUAAGAAUAAGCACCGGCUAACUACGUGCCAGCCGCCGCAGUAACAC